UACGAAGGGGGCUAGCGUUGUUCGGAAUUACUGGGCGUAAAGCGCACGUAGGCGGAUACUUAAGUCAGGGGUGAAAUCCCGGGGCUCAACCCCGGAACUGCCUUUGAUACUGGGUAUCUCGAGUCCGGAAGAGGUGAGUGGAAUUCCGAGUGUAGAGGUGAAAAUUCGUAGAUAUUCGGAGGAACACCAGUGGCGAAGGCGGCUCACUGGUCCGGUACUGACGCUGAGGUGCGAAAGCGUGGGGAGCAAACAGG
rnacentral:rRNA from 1 species